CCCGCUGAACUUAAGCAUAUCAAUAAGCGGAGGAAAAGAAACUAACAAGGAUUCCCCUAGUAACUGCGAGUGAAGCGGGAAAAGCUCAAAUUUAAAAUCUGGCAGUCCUCUGGCUGUCCGAGUUGUAAUCUGGAGAAGCGUUUUCCGCGUCGGACCGUGUACAAGUCUUCUGGAACGGAGCGUCAUAGAGGGUGAGAAUCCCGUCUCUGACACGGACCGCCGACGCUUCAUGUGAUACGCUCUCGAAGAGUCGAGUUGUUUGGGAAUGCAGCUCAAAAUGGGUGGUAAAUUCCAUCUAAAGCUAAAUAUUGGCGAGAGACCGAUAGCGAACAAGUACCGUGAGGGAAAGAUGAAAAGCACUUUGGAAAGAGAGUUAAACAGUACGUGAAAUUGUUGAAAGGGAAACGUUUGAAGUCAGUCGCGUCGGCCGAGACUCAGCCUUGCUUCCGCUCGGUGCACUUCUCGGUUGACGGGUCAGCAUCAAUUUCGACCGCCGGAUAAAGGUUGAGGGAACGUGACAUCUUUCGAGGUGUGUUUAUAGCCCUCGAUUCGCAUACGGCGAUUGGGAUUGAGGAACUCAGCGCGCCUUUAUGGUCGGGGUAGCAACCCACGUAACGCGCUCAGGAUGCUGGCAUAAUGGCUUUAAGCGACCCGUCUUGAAACACGG
rnacentral:rRNA from 1 species